UCAUCUUCUCUUCAUUUUCUGUCUAACCAAAGCAACACAGUACCCAAUCAAUUUCUCAUUUGUCAUAUAUAACUCAUAAGCUAUAAUAUGUUAGGACAAAAGGAAGAAAACCCAGUGCUCACCUGUGAAAUGCUAGCAGAUUUGGGAUUAGCUCUGCCUUCUGCCUUGAAUCUCACAUGGGUAGAGCUUGAAAUCAAGAGAAAGAGGAAGGAAAUGGUAACAUAACCAAGCCUUUGACAGAAAAGUAGAUUGUGACUACACCCCAUGUUUUCAAAAUAGAAGAAGUUAGGGGUGCAAUGCGAUGUAUUGGAGGGAAAAGCUAGUAAAGGAAGAAAGGAUGUAGAAAACAGGGGAAGUCAAAUUAUAUAUAAGAA
rnacentral:misc_RNA from 1 species